CGCCUUAGUCUUUUCUAUUCCCUGAUGUCCGACAUGUCCGAGUUGCGUCGCACGGUCUUCUAGCGCUUUUGGUAUAACCGUUCUGCUCCCUUUGAGAAGGUCUCCUGCUACUUCUUCCGCAUACAUGACAAGGUUUUAGUUCUACAUACUUCUCCUGUCAUUUCUCUGAUUUCAAGCAUUCUAAGACUUUUUAAUACGGUGUCUGACAAGGUGGCUUCCAUGAUAUCUUGAAGUAUAUACCACUUGACUUCGGUACAGCAUUGUUAAUGAUUAAUUUAUUGUACAAUAAAUUAAUAGAAGAACCCAAAUUCAAGCCCUUCAGUGAGUUGUUAAUAUGAUGUAAAUCACAUAAUUAUCGGCAAUUUUUUCUAAGAUUGUAGUUUUUCUUUGGGUGGUGGUAGGAUGACGGCUCAGGUAAUCGGCUUCGUUAACUGUUUCUUUCUUGUAAAUUACACGGAAGUGAUACGGUUGCAGUCGUAGCAUCCAGCGUUUAAUACGAGCUGGGGGUUUUGAUCUUGGAUCAUUGAAGAUUGCUUCCAGAGCUUUGUGGUCAGUAUAUAAACAUCGAAUUCAAUACCCAGAAGAAACAGUUAAUCCCCCACACUAAGCUCAACCCUACGAUGUCAGUCUGUUAGUAUCGACUUCCGAUUGGAG